rnacentral:rRNA from 1 species
UCCUACGGGAGGCAGCAGUGGGGAAUUUUGGACAAUGGGCGAAAGCCUGAUCCAGCAAUGCCGCGUGUGUGAAGAAGGCCUUCGGGUUGUAAAGCACUUUUGUCCGGAAAGAAAUCCUUGGCUCUAAUACAGUCGGGGGAUGACGGUACCGGAAGAAUAAGCACCGGCUAACUACGUGCCAGCAGCCGCGGUAAUACGUAGGGUGCGAGCGUUAAUCGGAAUUACUGGGCGUAAAGCGUGCGCAGGCGGUUUGCUAAGACCGAUGUGAAAUCCCCGGGCUCAACCUGGGAACUGCAUUGGUGACUGGCAGGCUAGAGUAUGGCAGAGGGGGGUAGAAUUCCACGUGUAGCAGUGAAAUGCGUAGAGAUGUGGAGGAAUACCGAUGGCGAAGGCAGCCCCCUGGGCCAAUACUGACGCUCAUGCACG